rnacentral:tRNA from 1 species
GCCAGUGUGGUGUAGUGGUUUGAGCAUUGGACUAGGACUCUGGAGACCAGGAUUUGAAUCCCGGUUCUGCCA